rnacentral:rRNA from 1 species
UACGAAGGGGGCUAGCGUUGUUCGGAAUCACUGGGCGUAAAGGGCGCGUAGGCGGCUUUAUAAGUCGGGGGUGAAAGCCUGUGGCUCAACCACAGAAUUGCCUUCGAUACUGUAGAGCUUGAGACCGGAAGAGGUAAGUGGAAACUGCGAGUGUAGAGGUGAAAUUCGUAGAUAUUCGCAAGAACACCAGUGGCGAAGGCGGCUUACUGGUCCGGUUCUGACGCUGAGGGCGCGAAAAGCGUGGGGAGCAAACAGG